CAGCACCUCAAGUGGUCAGGAUGAUUAUUGGGCCUAAAGCAUCCGUAGCCGGCCGAGUAAGUCCCCCGUUAAAUCCAGCGUCUCAAGCGUUGGACUGCGGGAGAUACUACUUGGCUAGAGAGUGGGAGAGGUCAGCGGUAUUCUGGGGGUAGGGGCGAAAUCCUUUGAUCCCCGGAGGACCACCAGUGGCGAAGGCUGCUGACUAGAACACGUCUGACGGUCAGGGACGAAAGCUGGGGUAGCGAACCGGAUUAGAUACCCGAGUAGUCC
rnacentral:rRNA from 1 species